AACUGUCAACACGGAUCUCUUGGCUCUCGCAUCGAUGAAGACGCAGCGAAAUGCGAUAAGUAAUGUGAAUUGCAGAAUUCAGUGAAUCAUCGAAUCUUUGAACGCACCUUGCGCUCCUUGGUAUUCCGAGGAGCAUGCCUGUUUGAGUGUCA
rnacentral:rRNA from 1 species